AUUGAACGCUGGCGGCAUGCCUUACACAUGCAAGUCGAACGGCAGCGCGGACUUCGGUCUGGCGGCGAGUGGCGAACGGGUGAGUAGUACAUCGGAACGUACCCUGUUGUGGGGGAUAACUAGUCGAAAGAUUAGCUAAUACCGCAUACGACCUGAGGGUGAAAGUGGGGGACCGCAAGGCCUCACGCAGCAGGAGCGGCCGAUGUCUGAUUAGCUAGUUGGUGGGGUAAAGGCCCACCAAGGCGACGAUCAGUAGCUGGUCGGAGAGGACGAUCAGCCACACUGGGACUGAGACACGGCCCAGACUCCUACGGGAGGCAGCAGUGGGGAAUUUUGGACAAUGGGGGCAACCCUGAUCCAGCAAUGCCGCGUGUGUGAAGAAGGCCUUCGGGUUGUAAAGCACUUUUGUCCGGAAAGAAAUCGCGCUGGUUAAUACCUGGCGUGGAUGACGGUACCGGAAGAAUAAGCACCGGCUAACUACGUGCCAGCCGCCGCAGUAA
rnacentral:rRNA from 1 species